CCUGGCUCACGAUGAACGCUAGCUACAGGCUUAACACAUGCAAGUCGAGGGGCAGCAUGGUCUUAGCUUGCUAAGGCCGAUGGCGACCGGCGCACGGGUGAGUAACACGUAUCCAACCUGCCGUCUACUCUUGGACAGCCUUCUGAAAGGAAGAUUAAUACAAGAUGGCAUCAUGAGUCCGCAUGUUCACAUGAUUAAAGGUAUUCCGGUAGACGAUGGGGAUGCGUUCCAUUAGAUAGUAGGCGGGGUAACGGCCCACCUAGUCUUCGAUGGAUAGGGGUUCUGAGAGGAAGGUCCCCCACAUUGGAACUGAGACACGGUCCAAACUCCUACGGGAGGCAGCAGUGAGGAAUAUUGGUCAAUGGGCGAGAGCCUGAACCAGCCAAGUAGCGUGAAGGAUGACUGCCCUAUGGGUUGUAAACUUCUUUUAUAAAGGAAUAAAGUCGGGUAUGGAUACCCGUUUGCAUGUACUUUAUGAAUAAGGAUCGGCUAACUCCGUGCCAGCAGCCGCGGUAAUACGGAGGAUCCGAGCGUUAUCCGGAUUUAUUGGGUUUAAAGGGAGCGUAGAUGGAUGUUUAAGUCAGUUGUGAAAGUUUGCGGCUCAACCGUAAAAUUGCAGUUGAUACUGGAUAUCUUGAGUGCAGUUGAGGCAGGCGGAAUUCGUGGUGUAGCGGUGAAAUGCUUAGAUAUCACGAAGAACUCCGAUUGCGAAGGCAGCCUGCUAAGCUGCAACUGACAUUGAGGCUCGAAAGUGUGGGUAUCAAACAGGAUUAGAUACCCUGGUAGUCCACACGGUAAACGAUGAAUACUCGCUGUUUGCGAUAUACUGCAAGCGGCCAAGCGAAAGCGUUAAGUAUUCCACCUGGGGAGUACGCCGGCAACGGUGAAACUCAAAGGAAUUGACGGGGGCCCGCACAAGCGGAGGAACAUGUGGUUUAAUUCGAUGAUACGCGAGGAACCUUACCCGGGCUUAAAUUGCAGAUGAAUUACGGUGAAAGCCGUAAGCCGCAAGGCAUCUGUGAAGGUGCUGCAUGGUUGUCGUCAGCUCGUGCCGUGAGGUGUCGGCUUAAGUGCCAUAACGAGCGCAACCCUUGUUGUCAGUUACUAACAGGUUCCGCUGAGGACUCUGACAAGACUGCCAUCGUAAGAUGUGAGGAAGGUGGGGAUGACGUCAAAUCAGCACGGCCCUUACGUCCGGGGCUACACACGUGUUACAAUGGGGGGUACAGAGGGCCGCUACCACGCGAGUGGAUGCCAAUCCCCAAAACCUCUCUCAGUUCGGACUGGAGUCUGCAACCCGACUCCACGAAGCUGGAUUCGCUAGUAAUCGCGCAUCAGCCACGGCGCGGUGAAUACGUUCCCGGGCCUUGCACACACCGCC
rnacentral:rRNA from 1 species